CACACUAGCACCUAAAACACACACUACACACACGUCAUUUUCCAUUUAAGCUUGGACGGAGCUUUUGACUUCCGAUUUGAGCACCGAGACGAGCGCCGAUCAUCUUUUCGAUCACGUAUCUAAGUAGGUCCUUUUGGGAAGUAACGACUUGAGGGAGAGAGUGACGUUACUCAUUGAUACAGAGACACAACGAGGUUGAGCUGAUGUGAUGAUGGUGCUGCAAUGAGCGGAGUCUCCAGGGUUGUUAAUAAAUAGUUAACAUGUCUAGAAUAUGUCUUCAUACAUAUGUCUAGCUACUUUCCGCUGCAAGAUGUUGAUGUUAUAGUAUGUUAUGUCAUACUUUGAGGCUUAAGAGAAUGGUUUCAUAUGAUGUAUAACUUGAUUAAUGAUAUUAAUUAAGUUUUAUGCUGUCUUUCAUAGACUGUUUUCAAUUGAGUAUUAAUGAAUAAAAA